UACGUAGGGACCAAGCGUUGUUCGGAUUUACUGGGCGUAAAGGGCGCGUAGGCGGCAAUUCAAGUCAUCUGUGAAAUCUCCGGGCUUAACCCGGAACGGUCAGGUGAUACUGUUUUGCUAGAGUGCGGAAGGGGCAAUCGGAAUUCUCGGUGUAGCGGUGAAAUGCGUAGAUAUCGGGAGGAACACCAGUGGCGAAAGCGGCUCACUGGACCACAACUGACGCUGAGGCGCGAAAGCUAGGGGAGCAAACAGG
rnacentral:rRNA from 1 species